AUUGAACGCUGGCGGCAUGCCUUACACAUGCAAGUCGAACGGCAGCACGGGAGCAAUCCUGGUGGCGAGUGGCGAACGGGUGAGUAAUAUAUCGGAACGUGCCCAGUCGUGGGGGAUAACGUAGAGAAAUUUACGCUAAUACCGCAUACGAUCUAAGGAUGAAAGCGGGGGACUCGCAAGAGCCUCGCGCGAUUGGAGCGGCUGAUAUCAGAUUAGGUUGUUGGUGAGGUAAAAGCUCACCAAGCCGACGAUCUGUAGCUGGUUUGAGAGAACGACCAGCCACACUGGGACUGAGACACGGCCCAGACUCCUACGGGAGGCAGCAGUGGGGAAUUUUGGACAAUGGGCGAAAGCCCGAUCCAGCAAUGCCGCGUGCAGGAAGAAGGCCUUCGGGUUGUAAACUGCUUUUGUACGGAACGAAACGGUCCUUUCUAAUAAAGAGGGCUAAUGACGGUACCGUAAGAAUAAGCACCGGCUAACUACGUGCCAGCAGCCGCGGUAAUACGUAGGGUGCGAGCGUUAAUCGGAAUUACUGGGCGUAAAGCGUGCGCAGGCGGUUAUGUAAGACAGUUGU
rnacentral:rRNA from 1 species